GAUCAGACUUAAGAACAAUAUUCAACUUUUGAUACUGGCUAUCAAAGUUGGGUCCUAUAAGUAUGUCACUAUCCAACAAUGAGCAGAAUGAUAAACUACUAGCCAUAACUGUAAAAGAAAAAUUAAGACCUAUUUAGUAUAUAAAUUAUUAAGCCUAAAGAUAUGAACUUUAGUCUAAAGGUUCUUCCACUAUUUUAUACGAAUUGGUAGUCUCUACCUCUAAUUUGAGAAAUUAUCUUCCUUAGUGUGUACUAGAAUCCACACAGAUUGCAUACGAAGCUCGGCCA
rnacentral:lncRNA from 1 species